AACAUUGGACAAUGGGGGGAACCCUGAUCCAGCCAUGCCGCGUGUGUGAAUAAGGACUUCGGUUUGUAAAGCACUUUACGUUGGGAGGAAGAGUAGUAGGCUAAUACCUUGCAAUUUUGACGUUACCAACAGAAUAAGCACCGGCUAACUUCGAGCGAGCAGCCGCGGUAAUACGAAGGGUGCAAGCGUUAAUCGGAAUUACUUGGCGUAAAGCGCGCGUAGAUGGUUCGUUAAGUUGGAAGUGAAAGCCCCGGGCUUAACCUGGGAAUUGCUUUCAAAACUGACGAGCUAGAGUACGGUAGAGGGUAGUGGAAUUUCCUGUGUAGCGGUGAAAUGCGUAAAUAUAGGAAGGAACAGCAGUGGCGAAGGCGACUACCUGGACUGAUACUGACACUGAGGUGCGAAAGCGUGGGGGGCAAACA
rnacentral:rRNA from 1 species